CAACACAAAGACUAAAAAGCUGUCGUCGCAUCUUCUCCAACUUCGUCGUUUGCACUUCUUCAACGCAUCGACGAUUAAUCGACACACCACUUCACCUAUGUGCAAUGAACCCUCUGAAAAUUGCUUUUAUGACUUCCUUUCACCUUCCUCCCUAUAAGAGUCUUUAUAAUUCUUCCUCACUCAACACUAUCCCAACGUGCAGAGAUGAACAUCACAAUUUCAACGAGAUCGAAAGGACGUGAAAUAUACAUCAUUCGGAGAUCCCAAAAUCCGUUGAUGGAGAAAGAACGUGGAAGAAUUAACCAAUCAUCACUUACAUAGUCGUACUUUUGGAAUCCGUUGAUGGAAAACGAAUAUAUGGUGGAAAAAGAAUGUGGAAGAGACGUCGUUUCGAGUGAAUAACUGUAAGGAGGUGAUAGUGUUGGACCCUGACUUAUCGAAGGAUUACCUUGACCGGAUUCAGAAUCGGACUAAAGAGAAGAAAUAUUGUUCAUCACCAUGGCUUUGGCCCUGAGAGUACCAACAAGAGUGUUUGUGACUGAACUUGUGAGAAGUUUGACUUCUGGUUUAUGGUUGGUGAUUUUGAAUAGGUUGUUCAUGGACUCAACGCUACAGUCUUUGCCUAUGGUUCCACUGGAAGUGGUAAAACCUAUACAAUGGUUGGAACACGAAGUGAACCUGGAUUGAUGGUUCUCAGUCUGAAUACCGUAUUUGACAUGAUUAAGAGUGACAAGAACUCUGAUUACUUCGAAGUGACUUGCUCCUAUCUUGAAGUCUACAAUGAAGUUAUAUACGAUCUGCUUGAAAAAUCAUCCGGUCAUUUGGAGCUCACUAGCUCAGGGAGGAUCCAGAGCAGGGAGUAGUUGUUGCAGACCUGCGAUCAAUCAAGGUCCACUGCAAUGAAACUUUUUUUUUCUUGAAAACAAACUCCCAGAAGCUGCUGCUGCUCCUUGCCUUGGAGCUAGCAGAUCAGCUUUGAGCAUAAGUGUCGUGAUGAUGGUCACGUGAGCAACUCAUACUUUGUAUCUGUUGGAGCCAAACACCGAGGAUUGGCCUCUCUUACUGGGUGGUAAAGAUUGACGAAGCUUAACCAUUACGGAAAGACUUUCUGCGGAGCUUCAAUUCUGCUUUCUCAGUUUUGAAUUAUAUUAGUCUUUGUUUUGAACUUGCAUUCUCAAUUUCACUACUCCAGUUUUAGUUCCUGAUUUUGUGUUGCAGGAAAUCAUAUUAGGUCUGGAACCAGACGGGGAGCUAAGAUAUCCUUCUCAACAAGCUCUCUGGCGCGGGUGAAUUCCAGUGUUACGACACAAGUUUACUGCUCUCAGACAGUACGCUGAAUACGAUCAACAGCCCAUUCCACUUCUUUCUUCUCAAACGGAGGGUCCUGAGAAUCUCAGUAUGGCUAUUUCUUCUUGAGUGGUAUUCGUCUCUUCUCUUCCCAUGCAGACUGUUUCUUCUCUGCGGCUUCAUCUGUAUUUAGUGGAAGUGGAGUGUCUCUAUGUUGGAAGUUCCCUCUCUUACACCAAUGGCACAAACUAGGAUCUCAGUCUUUUGAGUUAACAGUUGGGUUCUAAACUUCUACAGCUCUAAUGGUCAUGACAGGUACGAGGCAAACAUAGAUCUUUGCAAAUCAAUCACAAAGACUCGGUGAAAUCUCCAGCUAAUGAAGUCUUACAUAUUAACUUUGCCAAUUUGGUGUAUACCACCAUUCUAGGUCGUGUUGAUCCUAUAUUCCUAUAAGAGCUAUUAACUUUUCUACUUUUUGAUCAUUAAAGCAAAUCUUUAUUUUCUUAGGUUUCCAUUUUAUUUUGAUAUAUUAGGAGAAGUUUUUUUGGCAAUGAUCUUCCAACGUUAGUUGAUUGCACCCAGAGCCCAAAUGAUUGUAUAGGAAUUUUAGAUUGCCUAUUUAUUGUUGUUAUCUUUUGCACCAACAGACUGGUCAUUGGUUCUCCUCUUUUACUUGCUCAAGUAUUAUCUAAAACGAGAGGUACUAACCCAAA